CAGGCGACUAGCGGACACCCAGGUCAUGGAACGCAAAGCGGGCGCCUUGGAGGAGGUGGCGGACAGUACCCGGCAGCAAGAGCGACACUACCAGCUGCUGUGGGCGCUGCAGAGCCUGGUGAAGGAGUUGCCCAGCAACUGCCAGCAGCGCCUGUCCUGCACCACGCUCAGCGACUUGGCCCUGGCGCUUCUCGACGACACCAUGUUCGAAAUCGUGCAGGGGCUACUGGAGAUCCAGCACAUCACCUAAAAGAGCCUGUAAAACCAGCGCCUGCGCCUACAGAACGAGCACCGAGUGCUCAGGCAGGCACUGAGGCAGAAGCACCAGGAAGCUCAGCAGGCCUGCUGGCCCCACAACCUGCCUGUGCUCCAGGCAGCUCAGCAGCGAUAACUAGAGGUGGUGGAGCACCUGAUCCGUGAGGAGCAGUGGGCGAUGGACGGGAAGAUCAUCCUGGAGCUGGACCGCAAGGUGGCUGACCAGCAGAGCACACUGGAGAAGGCAGAGGUGGCUGGCUUCUAAGUGACCACCAACCUGCAGGAGCUGAUGCUGCAGAUGAACCUGCUGGAGUUCAUCCAGAAGCUGCAGCAGAGGUGCUCCCAGGCAAGGAAGGCAUCCCUGGGACUGGGAGGUUGCUGGCAGCCGCCUGCUGCCCAUGUGACCAGGAAGGCAGCCCUGUCCCAACAUAGCCACAGGCAGCAGAAGGCUGGGCAGAGUUCAUCUUCUUGACCUUUGGCCACUGCCUUCGCAGCUGCCUGCAGGGGUCCCCCUGCUGAGGAGAGGCCAGGUGGACCCUGACUGCCUGUCCCCCACCUUCAUCUGGGACUUUCUGCCAAAUGCUAGGAUGGACUCAUAAAGGGGAGGUGGGCCCAGCCUGCCACUGUCUGCCUCAGGGCCAGGCAGAGUGGGCCUGGGGCUUCUCACACCUUUUCACUCCACGGAGCACAUCCCGACCUGCACUGGGGCCCACCCGAGUGCUUGUUCUGGUCUCAGCCACUCCCUUGGCAGCUGCAGCCCCCAAGCAGAAGAGGCUUCGAGGCCCAAGCUCUGUGUGACUCAGAGACAUAAAGAUGCCUCAGUGUGGCC